rnacentral:lncRNA from 1 species
ACGUGCUUGAUAUUCAUAACUGAACCGAAGGAGCUCAGGGAGUCAGCGAGGUCGAGGCAGGAUAAGGGAGAUAGUAAAUGAAACCAGGAGAACUUCUAAUCUCCUCUCUCUCCACCUUCCAGCUGGAUCCCACUCCCUGGGCGUCUUCUAUCUGUCUCAGCUCACUCACUUUGAGAGGUGAUCGCUCAGCGUGGACCCGUCUGACUGACUGCCUGAUCGCCGGAUGAAG